rnacentral:rRNA from 1 species
AAUCAACGCUGGCGGCGUGCCUAACACAUGCAAGUCGAGCGAGAAAAGGUAGCAAUACCCUAGUAAAGCGGCGCACGGGUGAGUAACACGUGGAUAACCUGCCUCGAAGUGGGGAAUAACACCGGGAAACCGGUGCUAAUACCGCAUAAUCUGACGAGAUCUGUGGAUUUUGUCAGCAAAGGAGCAAUUCGCUUUGAGAGGGGUCCGCGGCUGAUUAGCUAGUUGGUGAGGUAAUGGCUCACCAAGGCCACGAUCAGUAGCCGGUCUGAGAGGACGGUCGGCCACACUGGAACUGAGACACGGUCCAGACUCCUACGGGAGGCAGCAGUGGGGAAUUUUUCGCAAUGGGGGCAACCCUGACGAAGCAACGCCGCGUGGGUGAUGAAGUAUUUCGGUACGUAAAACCCUUUCGACGGGGACGAAACCGCAAGGUUGACGGUACCCGUAGAAGAAGCCCCGGCUAACUCCGUGCCAGCCGCCGCUGUAACAC